rnacentral:misc_RNA from 1 species
CGCUCCACCCUCUCCUUCCCCUCACAAGCAAUAACAUUCACUAUAUCCUUGGCUAAACAGUGCUGCUCUACACCAAUACGCUCCUUCCGGUCCCUUGGCAGCGUCACAUCUAUGGACUCAAACAUUGCCAAGUAGUAGUCUAGAGUUUCUAUGAACCUUGUAAGGAAAGGGGCUGUGUUUGUGUUUGAUUCUUGCUCCACUAAAGUGACCACCUUGGGAUUGAGUGAUUUGACCAUUCGAAGCAGCCCAUCCCUUGGAUUACUCACAUCAACGCUCUCAUCAGGAGUGUGAUGGAGCUGCAAGGGGAAGUUCACGGCCAGAGCCUCCCCAGGCCUCACAUCAAGCAUGUCCCGUGUGACAUCCGGAGCAAAAACUGGCACACCAUGAAACUC